GACGAACGCUGGCGGCGUGCUUAACACAUGCAAGUCGAACGGAAAGGCCCUGCUUUUGUGGGGUGCUCGGGUGGCGAACGGGUGAGUAACACGUGAGUAACCUGCCCUUGACUUUGGGAUAACUUCAGGAAACUGGGGCUAAUACCGGAUAGGAGCUCCUGCUGCAUGGUGGGGGUUGGAAAGUUUCGGCGGUUGGGGAUGGACUCGCGGCUUAUCAGCCUGUUGGUGGGGUAGUGGCUUACCAAGGCUUUGACGGGUAGCCGGCCUGAGAGGGUGACCGGCCACAUUGGGACUGAGAUACGGCCCAGACUCCUACGGGAGGCAGCAGUGGGGAAUAUUGCACAAUGGGCGGAAGCCUGAUGCAGCAACGCCGCGUGCGGGAUGACGGCCUUCGGGUUGUAAACCGCUUUCGCCUGUGACGAAGCGUGAGUGACGGUAAUGGGUAAAGAAGCACCGGCUAACUACGUG
rnacentral:rRNA from 1 species